rnacentral:rRNA from 1 species
CCUACGGGUGGCAGCAGUGGGGAAUAUUGCACAAUGGGGGAAACCCUGAUGCAGCGACGCCGCGUGAGUGAAGAAGUAAUUCAUUACGUAAAGCUCUAUCAGCAGGGAAGAAACACUGACCUUACGGUCAGCAGACGGUACCUGAGUAAGAAGCCCCGGCUAACUACGUGCCAGCAGCCGCGGUAAUACGUAGGGGGCAGGCGUUAUCCGGAUUUACUGGGGGUAAAGGGAGCGUAGACGGCGGAACAGGUCAGAAGUGAAAAACCGGGGCUCAACCCUGGGAGUGCUUUUGACACUGUUUGGCUGGAGUGCAGGAGGUGUAAGCGGAAUUCCUAGUGUAGCGGUGAAAUGCGUAGAUAUUAGGAGGAACACCAGUGGCGAAGGCGGCUUACUGGACUGUAACUGACGUUGAGGCUCGAAAGCGUGGGGAGCAAACAGGAUUAGAUACCCCGGUAGUC